AUGGCAUACCAGCGUGGGGAAUGGUGGAGGUCGGCCAUUGCGUCCUCGACCGUAGGUUCGUGGGUGGAGGUCCCGCACCCAGCGCCAGCGCAACACCUGUGCGUGUCCUGCGGCCUCCCCAUGCUGUCGGGGACCACCAUAAUCUGCUACGCCUGCGAACGUCGGUUCCAUGCAUCCUGCAUCCACCACAUGCGUCCUACGCCAAUACAGCCGCCUCUGCCCACCCCUAGUGUGGGGGUGCGGGGGCCUCCGGCGGCCGUGAACAAAGACUGGAUGUGCCCGGAAUGUGCGAUAGGAGCCGUCAACGCCCGAGACAUCACCAGACAGUUAUGCCAGCUCCCUCUUGAUCAUUUGCUUAUGGUUUUACAUCUGUUUUUGUUUAGCGGAUUUUAUACACAUAGCUCUAAGAAGUAG
rnacentral:rRNA from 1 species